CCGGCGCCGCGCGGGGAAAUCAUUAUAAUUUAGUUGGCGGCGCAUGCGCGCCCUCGUUUGUCGUUCUCGGUCGCCGUCGGAACCGUUUCACACGAGAAUACGCGCGCGUUGCGAUACGCGUACGCGAUUGCAGCGUUCGAUACUGACCGAAAAUGUAAUUCGAUUGAGAGCGUUCUGACGGGAAUAGGGUCAGCUGUGAGAAGUUCACCAAAUAUACGAAAAAUCGUCUCGAGUCGCUGAUUCGCCCGAGAGAAAAAUGGCCCGAGUGCAAAUGAUUAUUCGAAAUUACUAAUUAUGAUUAUUAUACAAUCACUCGAAAGUUGUGUGCUCCAUUUUCCAUUAGGAAAACGUCAACGCAUCGGUGAACCUUGUAUCUUGGAGACACGCGUACGCAUUACAAUGAUAUCCGUUCGGAAACUUCGAGUAACCUUGGAAAGGUUCUAUUUUUAUUACAACUGUGAACACGCAAAGAAGAUCAACGAUUUAUGAGGACUGGGAGAGAAUGUGUCGUCGGUCAGUCUGGAUAGCUUAAUUGCUUAAGGCAGUCGCCCGUCAAGCGGAAGACCCGGGUUCGAAUCCCCCAGCAGAAGAGAGCCCCCCCCCUCCCCGCCCCAAUCCUAUUUAUCCAAUCGGUCGGGACUCCAUUUUCUCCUACAAAAGUUUUACUACUUUAGAUGCCAAUAAAGUCGGAAGACGCCCCGUU